UCUCCGUUGGUGAACAGCGGAGGGAUCAUUACUGAGUACUACACUCUCUACCCUUUGUGAACUAUUAUACCUGUUGCUUCGGCGGCGCCCGCGAGGGUGCCCGCCGGUCUCAUCAGAAUCUCUGUUUUCGAACCCGACGAUACUUCUGAGUGUUCUUAGCGAACUGUCAAAACUUUUAACAACGGAUCUCUUGGCUCCAGCAUCGAUGAAGAACGCAGCGAAACGCGAUAUGUAAUGUGAAUUGCAGAAUUCAGUGAAUCAUCGAAUCUUUGAACGCACAUGGCGCCUUCCAGUAUCCUGGGAGGCAUGCCUGUCCGAGCGUCGUUUCAACCCUCGAGCCCCCGUGGCCCGGCGUUGGGGAUCUGCCACGGCAGGCCCCUAAAACCAGUGGCGGACCCGAAGGCCCUCUCCUUUGCGCAGUAGCAUCAGCCUCGCAUUGGGAUCCCUCGGCGUCCUGCCUCUAAACCCCCCACAAGUCCGCUCCGGCGGCACCAAGGUUGACCUCGGAUCAGGUAGGAAUACCCGCUGAACUUAAGCAUAUCA
rnacentral:rRNA from 1 species